rnacentral:rRNA from 1 species
UUUAACAAAGAAGAAGCAAAGCCGCGAGGUAGAGCAAAUCUCAAAAAAAACAAUCUCAGUUCAGACUGCAGGCUGCAACUCGCCUGCACGAAGUCGGAAUUGCUAGUAAUCGUAGGUCAGCAUACUACGGUGAAUACGUUCCCGGGCCUUGUACACACCGCCCGUCAAACCAUGAGAGUUGGCAACACCCGAAGUCGGUAGUCUAACCGCAAGGAGGACGCCGCCGAAGGUGGGGUUGAUGAUUAGGGUUAAGUCGUAACAAGGUAAC